rnacentral:rRNA from 1 species
UACGGGGGGAGCAAGCGUUGUUCGGAUUUACUGGGCGUAAAGGGCGCGUAGGCGGCGUGACAAGUCACUUGUGAAAUCUCCGGGCUUAACCCGGAGCGGCCAAGUGAUACUGUCGUGCUAGAGUGCGGAAGGGGCUACUGGAAUUCCCGGUGUAGCGGUGAAAUGCGCAGAUAUCGGGAGGAACACCAAUGGCGAAGGCAGCUCGCUGGGACGGUACUGACGCUGAGACGCGAAAGCGUGGGGAGCAAACAGG